rnacentral:rRNA from 1 species
GACGAACGCUGGCGGCGUGCUUAACACAUGCAAGUCGAACGGAAAGGCCCCUUUGGGGGUACUCGAGUGGCGAACGGGUGCGUAACACGUGAGUAACCUGCCCUUGACUUCGGGAUAACUUCAGGAAACUGGGGCUAAUACCGGAUAGGAAUCCUUGCCGCAUGGUGGGGGUUGGAAAGCUUCGGCGGUUUUGGAUGGACUCGCGGCUUAUCAGCUUGUUGGUGGGGUAGUGGCUUACCAAGGCUUUGACGGGUAGCCGGCCUGAGAGGGCGACCGGCCACAUUGGGACUGAGAUACGGCCCAGACUCCUACGGGAGGCAGCAGUGGGGAAUAUUGCACAAUGGGCGGAAGCCUGAUGCAGCAACGCCGCGUGCGGGAUGACGGCCUUCGGGUUGUAAACCGCUUUCAGCAGGGGCGAAGCUUGUGGUGACGGUACCUGCAGAAGAAGCACCGGCUAACUACGUG